rnacentral:rRNA from 1 species
CAGUAGCCGCGGGAAUACGUAGGGUGCAAGCGUUAAUCGGAAUUACUGGGCGUAAAGCGUGCGCAGGCGGUUCCGCAAGACAGAUGUGAAAUCCCCGGGCUCAACCUGGGACCUGCAUUUGUGACUGUAUAGCUAGAGUACGGUAGAGGGGGAUGGAAUUCCGCGUGUAGCAGUGAAAUGCGUAGAUAUGCGGAGGAACACCGAUGGCGAAGGCAAUCCCCUGGACCUGUACUGACGCUCAUGCACGAAAGCGUGGGGAGCAAACAGGAUUAGAUACCCGGGUAGUCCCUGUCUCUUAUAC